GCCGCUGUGGCACAGUGGGUAGCUCUGUUGCCUUGCAGUCAAAAGGUUGUUGGUUCAAGGCUCGCCAGUGACC